GACUCUUAGUGGUGGAUCACUCGGCUCGUGCGUCGAUGAAGAACGCAGCUAGCUGCGAGAACUAAUGUACAACUAAUGUACAGUGAUGUACACUGUCUUGUUGGUAUAUGUAUGAUUUCUAUACGUUGUACAUCAGAUAAAAACUUUGGUUGUAAGAUUCA
ensembl:rRNA 5_8S_rRNA 5.8S ribosomal RNA